CCUUCCGAGGCAUGUGCACGCCCUGCUCAUCCACUCUACACCUGUGCACUUACUGUGGGUUUCAGACGGUGUAGCGAGCCUUUACGGGUUCGUGAAAGCGUCUGUGCCUGCGUUUAUUACAAACUCUUACAAGUAAAUGAAUGUGUAUUGCGAUAUAACGCAUCUAUAUACAACUUUCAGCAACGGAUCUCUUGGCUCUCGCAUCGAUGAAGAACGCAGCGAAAUGCGAUAAGUAAUGUGAAUUGCAGAAUUCAGUGAAUCAUCGAAUCUUUGAACGCACCUUGCGCUCCUUGGUAUUCCGAGGAGCAUGCCUGUUUGAGUGUCAUGAAAUCUUCAACCUAUAAACCUUUGCGGGUUUGUAGGCUUGGAUUUGGAGGCUUGUCGGCCUAACGGUCGGCUCCUCUUAAAUGCAUUAGCUUGAUUCCUUGCGGAUCGGCUCUCGGUGUGAUAAUUGUCUACGCCGCGACCGUGAAGCGUUUGGCGAGCUUCUAAUCGUCUCUUAUGAGACAACACAUUGACCUCUGACCUCAAAUCAGGUAGGACUACCCGCUGAACUUAAGCAUAUCAAUAAGCGGAGGAAAAGAAACUAACAAGGAUUCCCCUAGUAACUGCGAGUGAAGCGGGAAAAGCUCAAAUUUAAAAUCUGGCGGUCUUUGGCCGUCCGAGUUGUAGUCUGGAGAAGUGCUUUCCGCGCUGGACCG
rnacentral:rRNA from 1 species